AGCGUUAAUCGGAAUUACUGGGCGUAAAGCGCGCGUAGGUGGUUCGUUAAGUUGGAUGUGAAAGCCCCGGGCUCAACCUGGGAACUGCAUCCAAAACUGGCGAGCUAGAGUAUGGCAGAGGGUGGUGGAAUUUCCUGUGUAGCGGUGAAAUGCGUAGAUAUAGGAAGGAACACCAGUGGCGAAGGCGACCACCUGGGCUAAUACUGACACUGAGGUGCGAAAGCGUGGGAGCAACAAGGAUUAGUAUACCUCGGUAGUCCACGCCGUAACGAUGUCGACUAGCCGUUCGGGUAGUCCUUGAGAUCUUAGUGGCGCAGCUAACGCAUUAAGUCGACCGCCUGGGAGGUACGCCGCAAGGUUAAAACUACAAUAGAAUUGACGGGACCGGCACAAGUAGCGGUCGACGCGGCCG
rnacentral:rRNA from 1 species